rnacentral:rRNA from 1 species
GAUGAACGCUGACAGAAUGCUUAACACAUGCAAGUCUUUGGCGAAGCUGUGCUUGCACAGCCUAGCCAAGGCGGACGGGUGAGUAACGCGUAAGGAACUGCCCUGCAGUCAGGGAUAACAGACGGAAACGACUGAUAAGACCUGGUAAAGUCAGGCGGACUCAUGUCCAGCCUGAUGAAAAGAGAUGCUGCAGGAGAGCCUUGCGUCCUAUUAGCUUGUUGGUGGGGUAACGGCCCACCAAGGCGAUGAUAGGUAGCCGGCCUGAGAGGGUGGACGGCCACAAGGGGACUGAGAUACGGCCCUUACUCCUACGGGAGGCAGCAGUGGGGAAUAUUGGACAAUGGGGGCAACCCUGAUCCAGCAAUUCUGUGUGCACGAUGAAGGUUUUCGGAUUGUAAAGUGCUUUCAGCAGGGAAGAAAAAAAUGACGGUACCUGCAGAAGAAGCGACGGCUAAAUACGUG